GUUCUCCUCUGCUGCUGUUGUCAUGUGGGUCAGCUCCUUCAGCCUGCUGUAAAAGUCCUCGACACGAGACAGUGUCGUUUCUACCUGCUCCUGACGGUUCUUGCCUCUCUCGGUCAGUUUGCUGCACUGUUUAUUCAGUGUCUCCAGUUCACGUUUCAGUCCUAACAAGUCAGGGCUCCCUUCGUCCUCUAGCAUUUUCUUACAUUCACUUUCAGAAGCUUCAAUGUCAGACUUGAGCUGUUGGAGUUUGCUCAGGAACGUACGAACAUCCUCUGCUUGAGACUGAAGGCUGUCAGAGUCUCUCCCAAUGGGGCCCAUGCUGUCUAGCUCAUCAUCAAGAUCUGCCAGUUGAGAGAACAUCUCCCUGACCCRAUUAUUGAACUGGCCGAUCCCUUCAAGCUUGUUUUCCAUGAGCAUACAGCAGUCGUUUACUUUCUGCUUCACAGCUUCAAAGUCUUGCUGAGCCACCUCAGCUUGGCAUAAGAGCUGGGAGCAGUCAGACCCAUCUGGGGCAUCUUCUACUAGGCCCUGAGUGAAGUUUUUCAGAUAAUCCACUUGCGGCUCAAGGGCCUGCAGUACCUCCUGCUGUGCUCUGAGCUUCUCCAAGUUCUUGUUGCUGCAGGCCUGUGGCCCUAGCGCAUCGUAGAUCUCCAGCUGGUGCUUAGCCCCUUCUARCUUCUUCUCAAUGUUCUUGAAGCUCUCUUGAAACUCUUUGAGCCUCUGUGACAUUUCUUCAAUGGAGCCUGUCUUGGCUUGCAGCUCUUCUGUGAUGGCAUCCAUCUUCUGAUUGAUCCCAGCCUUCUCAUCCCGAACAUCAUCCUCAUCAGUUUGAGAAGCGUCUAUCAGGAUGUCGGCAGCACUGUUCAGCAUCUCGAGCAAGGAGCGGCGCUUCUCCACAUCGCUCAGCAAAGCCUUUGAUCUCAGAAGAGUUGCCUCCAGCUGCACAGGAUCCAGAGUCACUUCCAGCUCUGACAUCUUUGAACUGCUGCAACUUCUCCGAGAGCUGCUCGUACUGCUCGACCUUGGGGAGGAGGCCUUUGAGCGCAUCCUCCUUCUCCCGCUGCUGCUGGCACAGCCUGCCAAAAUGCUCUGUCACCUCUGCCAGCUUCCUCUGCAGGGCAGAGGCCGUGGUGCUGUCUGCUGUCUCCAUGAACCGCGUCACCAUCUCGCGRGUGGCUUCCAGGCAGCUCUUCUGCCUGGCGAUGUCCUGCUUCAGCUUCUGUUUUAAACACACACACAGAAGAUGCCAUUUUAGGAAGGCACUUAAGCAAAAGCGAACGAGUAUGAAGAGGCUGGACAGCCCUUCGGAACAACAACAGGCAUUUCUAGAUGACCRGGAUCAUGCAAGAACAGUCUUCAAUCCUAGGUCUUCUCUUUCCUCUCUUAUCUCCCCAAUCUGACCUGCCUUUCCCCAGUGCCUGAUAUCUAAGCUAGUUACUAGUCAAGGAGGAAGGGAGAUUUUCAACAGUUCUGUGUCCUGGCUCAAAGAAACUAAGUAAGGGGCCUGUUCAUGUCCCUUUUGGGGAGGUUUUGUGCAUUCAGAAUACUUUAACUAAACCCAGGCAACUAUUUGCACAGCUCAGAAACCAGAGACAGACACARCUACUCGAGGCAAGAUGGUGAAGUGACCGUCCUUACCGCGUUUGUGGCAAGCGAGUCCUGGAUGGAGGCAGAGGAGAGAGCAGUCGGCUGCUCUCCCUCCAGGCUCUUCUCGAUCUCAGCCACAGACUGGAGGAGACUUUCCAGGCUCUCCUGGACACUUUGGGACUGGGCGAUGGACUUCUGCAGCAGAUCGGAGCGCUCUGCCAUCUGCUGCGAAAGGCUCUGGAAAUGGCUCACGAUGGCACCUGGAGAGGUCAGUGCAAAAUAAGACAGAUGUCAGAGAGGUCUUGAGCUUCUCACCUGGCAUUCGGAGA
ensembl:lncRNA